rnacentral:tRNA from 1 species
GCUGAUGUAGCUCAGGUGGUAGAGCACAUCCUUGGUAAGGAUGAGGUCACGGGUUCAAGUCCCGUCAUCAGCUCGA